UACGGAGGGUGCGAGCGUUAAUCGGAAUUACUGGGCGUAAAGGGUGCGUAGGUGGUUGAUUAAGUUAUCUGUGAAAUCCCCGGGCUUAACCUGGGCAGGUCAGAUAAUACUGGUUAACUCGAGUAUGGGAGAGGGUAGUGGAAUUUCCGGUGUAGCGGUGAAAUGCGUAGAGAUCGGAAGGAACACCAGUGGCGAAGGCGGCUACCUGGCCCAAUACUGACACUGAGGCACGAAAGCGUGGGGAGCAAACAGG
rnacentral:rRNA from 1 species